GUGCCCUUGUUUGGGUGUAGGGCCUGAUCAGAGCCUGGAGGUACUGAGGUGCCGUUCCCCUCACAGCUCCGUAGGCAAGCACCAUGGUCUUGAGACGAUGGAGACAGAGAGAGCUCAAGAGCUCACAGAGACGCAGAGCAAGUACAAAGAGAGCGGGAAGAAAAAUAUCUCCCAUCCGGUCUAGCUGAUACCAUGGAUACCCAAUCUGUCAGAAAUGUGUCUGAACUGCAAAGUCAGGUGAAAAGAGCAGCAGACGAAGUACAAAGAAGGCAGUGAAGAAGAAGGCAAAGUCUCUCUACUCUGUGAUGCGAAAGACUCUGGAGACCCAACAUGCCAAGCGGUCUCCCAGCUCCAGAGCCAGGCCAAGUACAAGGAGGCAGGGAAACAGCAGUUCUCCACUCCGCUCUACUCAAAGCUUUCAGAGACUUUGGAGACUCAACACGCCAAAGAGGCCUCCCAGCUACAGAGCGUGGUUGCCUAUAGGAGUAAAACUAAGCAUUACAUCUACAUUGAUGUCCUGGGAAGGAUUUGAUAUCGAGCAUGCCAAUGUGGCCUCCAAACUCACUAGCCAGGUAAGAUGUCAACUACUCUUUUUAAAACCAGGUAUUCUACCAUUGACUGGAGAAUUAGCUUGUCUCCAACCAUGUAGGAAAUUAAUUGAGGAUAGGAGACAAUGGUAGGAGAUGAUUUACGAGUAUUGGGACAAGACCAUGCAUCUC